AAAGCGGGCCAGGCAAUCGCGGCUUCUAAGGGCUUCGGCCGAAGGAGGCGAGGAAAGUCCGGACUCCACAGGGCAGGGUGAUGGCUAACGGCCAUCCGUGGCGACACGCGGAACAGGGCAACAGAAAGCAGACCGCCGAUGGCUCGGGACGCAAGUCCGGAGAUCAGGUAAGGGUGAAACGGUGCGGUAAGAGCGCACCGCGGACGUCGCGAGACGUUCCGGCACGGUAACCUCCACCCGGAGCAAUUCCAAAUAGGCAGGCGCGCAUCCUCGCGAUGCAGGACGGGGCCCCCGUUCGUCUGCGGGUAGGAAGCUUGAGCGCGUCAGCAAUGGCGCGUCUAGAGGAAUGAUUGCCACGCGCGCCGGUGUCAAGCCGGCGCGUGCACAGAAUCCGGCUUAUCGGCCCGCUUUGUCG
rfam:Candidatus Burkholderia schumannianae strain TZHbot8 BSCHctg176, whole genome shotgun sequence.